GCUGUGAUGGCCGAGUGGUUAAGGUGUUGGACUUGAAAUCCAGUGGGGUCUUCCCCACGCAGGUUCAUAGUCCUGCUUACAGCG